UACGGAAAAAAGAGGAACCAUCGGGGGAGGAGAGAGAAAGGAGAGAAAAUGCGCGUGAGGAGAGAGAGAACAUACCGGUUUUUAAUAAAAUCCAACUUCGAAAAAUUUACGAUUGUGUCAGUACACUUCCGUUGACCACAACUUCUUUGUUAAACUCUGAUUUGAACCCAUUACAUGUCUACAAACUUGUAUCGAUGAGCUCUACGUAACGGUACUACCUAAAUCCCAUCCUUAUGGAUCGAAAACUGACUAAAGUACCCCCACUCCUC
rnacentral:lncRNA from 1 species